UAAAGCAAGAAGAAGCACCCGCUUCUCACCUGAACGACUCUUGUUGCCAGGUUAGAAAUCGUCAGUUUUUAAACUUACUGAUUAAAUGUGGGUGUGCUAUGCGCCCACAUUUUUUGCGUUUA
rfam:Bacillus sp. JCM 19045 DNA, contig: contig00014.